UACGUAGGAGACGAGCGUUGUCCGAAAUCACUGGGCGUAAAGCGCGUGUAGGCGGAUCGGCAAGUCUGCUGUGAAAGCUCCUGGCUUAACCGGGAGUGGUCGGUGGAAACUGCCAGUCUGGAGGACGGUAGAGGUAGGUAGAAUUCCCGGUGUAGUGGUGAAAUGCGUAGAGAUCGGGAGGAAUACCUGUGGCGAAGGCGGCCUACUGGGCCGGACCUGACGCUGAGACGCGAAGGCGUGGGGAGCGAACGGG
rnacentral:rRNA from 1 species